AGGUAUUUAGUUUAAUGGCAAAACCGUAACCUUCAAAGUUAUAUUCGGAAGUUCGAAUCUUUCAAUACCUG
rnacentral:tRNA from 1 species